ACGUAGGGUGCAAGCGUUGUUCGGAAUUACUGGGCGUAAAGGGGGAGUAGGCGGAAAGAAAAGUCAGAUGUGAAAGCCCUGUGCUUAACGCAGGAAGAGCAUUUGAAACUAUCUAACUAGAGUGUAUUAUGGGAGCGUGGAAUUCCUAGUUGGGCGGUGAAAUGCGUAGAUAUUGGCAGGAAGACGCGUGGCGAAGGCGAGGCUAUGGGGUUACACUGAUGGUGGGGACCGAAAGCAUGGGGAGCGAAGAG
rnacentral:rRNA from 1 species